rnacentral:rRNA from 1 species
UUAGAUAUAAAUAGUAUUUACUCGAGUACUACGAACAAACGUUUAAAACUCAAAGAGCUUGGCGGUGCUUUAGACUUCUCAGGGGAACCUGUCUCGUAAUCGACAGUCCACGAAUCAACCUCACCUUUGACAGUAUGUAUACCGUCGUCGUCGGGUAACUUUUAAAAAUAUAGAAGUUAGCAGGUUUCUACGUCAGAUCAAGGUGCAGCCUAUAGAAAGGAGAAGAUGGGUUACAAUUAAGAUUUAUAAUUACGGAUACUAGUUCUUGAAGGCGGACUUGAAAGUAUGAAUUAGUAGUCAAAUGUUUUGAAUCCAGCUCUGAAGCG